rnacentral:rRNA from 1 species
GACGUAGGGCGCGAGCGUUGUCCGGAUUUAUUGGGCGUAAAGAGCUCGUAGGUGGUUUGUCGCGUUGUUCGUGAAAACUCACAACUCAAUUGUGGGCGUGCGGGCGAUACGGGCAGACUGGAGUACUGCAGGGGAGACUGGAAUUCCUGGUGUAGCGGUGGAAUGCGCAGAUAUCAGGAGGAACACCGGUGGCGAAGGCGGGUCUCUGGGCCGAUACUGACGCUGAGGAGCGAAAGCGUGGGGAGCGAACAGG